GCCCUGCCCACCAGGUGAGGAGCUAUUGGCAGUUGGUGACUACUGGGGGAAAGGGAGUUCAUUUUCUUCAGGGCUUUGGCCUCUGGUGGGUGGCCGAUGCUCUACACCUAUGCAGGAAAACCAAAGGUUUUAUGGUGUCGCAGUGAUUUGAGAGAUGAGGUGUUUUCAUAGUCACAUGGAAUUGGAGUAACCCUUAGAGGAACUGCUGCUCUACAUAUGGAGCAUGGAGGAUGAGCUCCCAAACUCUCAGCAUGAUCUAAAGAUGGACAGAGCAAACCUGUCUCUGAGAAAAUAAGCAUCAGGGUUGCUCUGGAUUAUAUGUGGGCAUGGGCAUGGGUAUGUGCUACACUUACUGCAUACAGGGAGAUGAGUCCACUGUGCUCAUCUAAAGACGUGUUUAGUCAACAGAGUUUGCUUUCCUUGAGAUCUGGUUAACAUUCCAAAUAAUAAAAUGUCAUGCGCUCGGUAAACAA